CCUACGGGGGGCAGCAGUGAGGAAUACUGGUCAAUGGACGAGAGUCUGAACCAGCCAAGUAGCGUGAAGGAUGACUGCCCUAUGGGUUGUAAACUUCUUUUAUAUGGGAAUAAAACGUUCCACGUGUGGGAUUUUGUAUGUACCAUAUGAAUAAGGAUCGGCUAACUCCGUGCCAGCAGCCGCGGUAAUACGGAGGAUCCGAGCGUUAUCCGGAUUUAUUGGGUUUAAAGGGAGCGUAGGUGGAUUGUUAAGUCAGUUGUGAAAGUUUGCGGCUCAACCGUAAAAUUGCAGUUGAAACUGGCAGUCUUGAGUACAGUAGAGGUGGGCGGAAUUCGUGGUGUAGCGGUGAAAUGCUUAGAUAUCACGAAGAACUCCGAUUGCGAAGGCAGUUCACUGGACUGCAACUGACACUGAGGCUCGAAAGUGUGGGUAUCAAACAGGAUUAGAUACCCUAGUAGUC
rnacentral:rRNA from 1 species